AAAGUUCCUCCUUUGGAAGUUAUAGUAGAACUUGUAACGCAAAAUUAACUCGUAACGACCGCUAACGCGUCGCCAAAACAAAUCGUGAAUAUCAACGUCGAAUAUAGACACGCGAAAUGUACUCAAAGCUAUUCGCUUAACGUCCAACCGAUAAUAUCGCCGCAAAUUAGUAUUGUCAGUUGUUACGAUGUGAAAACUACGUCAAUUUUUAUUUGCACUUUGGUAUACAAAUAUCAUUCGGUCGUGGUACAAAAAUAUCUGACCGUCCAACGAAUUAUGCUUUCGUAGAUGUCCACACUUGUUCCAUAAAUACUGACAAUGAGCGAUUAUUUGGUACCGGACAAACCAUCCUCUCCAUCCGAUUUAGUUCCCACCGAGCGACGAUAACGCGUGUAAAUCGAUGUCCAGAAAAGCACCCGCGACAAGUUCCCCGCGUAAAAAACUUGCGAUAGAAAAUUUCAAAAAUAUCACAGACACUUUCGGACUGAAAAAUUAUUCGCCUGUUCCUCGUACGUGGAAUGUUAGGACGAAACUUUAAAGAUUUCGAAUAUCAAUGCCCAGGUUACCUAACCGGGGACGGAACUAUGUGCAAACUAAAAAUAACAGCGCUGCGGUUCGUAGACUGAAUGUUUGUGCGCAAAAUACGAAUACGUCAGAUUUUCCAGGGGGUAAGCGCUAGCGGAGUAACGAUGAAAUAAUGAUCGUUGCGAUUUUUUUCCACCGUCCAACGUACUCGUGCGUUUGGGAAGAAAAAAAAGGUUGAAAUCUGAAUCAAGGUGCUUCCUCGAGGAUGAUAAUUACUCGAGUCAUCACGUGGAAUCUAAUUGCGAGAAGUUGUACGGACGAAAUGAAAUUCCCACGUGACGAUCGUCGCGUUUAUACGUACUCGAAACAAAAGUGUAACGAGCAAAAUCCAACGUUACCUGCCGGACUGUGCGGUGUAGUAGUUGAUUCGUCCAAGGCCACGCGUCGUACCGAGAAUAAUUUCCGGGUGGGAGAAUUUAGCGCAUGUCCUCAUGCAGAUAUUUACCCGUGAUUAGAACUCGGCGUUCGUCGUAGAUAUAAGUUGCCGAGAAACUAGUAUCUGUAUAAUCAGCAUUGUUUGCCAUUCUUCUUACGAUGUACAACGCCGAGGGAGCGAGUGCCACCACAAAUAAUGUGACAGAAAUUGAAGCGAGAAAAAUAUCACCCAUUGUCAGACGUAAAUUCCACCGGACGUAGAUAUCAAUCUCAUAUAAUUCGAUUAUCUAGCGCAAUUAGUUUUACCCGGAUAAACGCUAGCCUGACUGCAUGCUAGUGUCCAUGAAUAUAAACUUCUAUAUAUAACGGAUGUUCUUGCGAUUUUCUUUUUAUAAUUAUACAAAGUGUUAAAUAUGAUACCGAUCAAUCAGAACGUUCGGAUGAUAUAUAAAUCUUUGGAUUUUCCUCGUUUGUUCAAAUGCCGUAGACGGCGUAUAAAAAGACUGGACAACUAUUUCCAAUCGGUGUUACGUAACACGUAACCCGAUGACCGCACCUGCGAUGUCCUUCGACGUUUUCCUCAAAGUAAAAUAAAAUUAAAAAUGAAUGAAAAAAAGUAGGAAUAAAAAUAUUCGAAACGGACGCGAGACGUCCGAGUCUGUGUACGAUAAAUUAUUCACUGAAUACCGAAUACUUAUAGAUAACAUACUAACAUAAGAUAUAUGACAUAUGGAAUGAAAAUAUUGAUUGCUGCAGAAUUUAAAUUGGUUUAAAAAUCCUUGAGGCGACAAAUACAGGUGCCCUGUACCCAGCCGUGCGACAAAUCAUAUUCCUCGUGUGAGCGAGUAUAUAAUGAUACACUCGGUGACCAUCGAGUAUCAAAUUAUAAACGCGGACAAGCCCUAGUAAGGAAAAUCAUACGCGACGGAAGAUACACCUGCGUAGAAAAUAUAUAUACAUAUAUAUAAGUACAUGAAUCCAACGACGCAUCGUGUGGCUUUGGGAUAUUUUCAUUCGUUGAACGCAGAACGUGCACAUGGUAUUGCGGUUCAUUUACGCAUCAGGUGGAACUCUGACCCUCUAAUUAUCCGUGCAACGAUGUGAAGUAACUCGCCAUUCCACAUCGGAACCAUGUAGGUAACGCGCAGAAUCAACCUCAACCUUGUCGAUAAACCUGUUCAAAAUUUCGGGCCAACGGCAAAGAUAUACUGCAAGCGCGUACGCGAUGCGGAGCGCGUGGAGGAAGUAUGAGAACAUGUCGGUUUAGCAUUGGACGUUGUAACCGGAUACGGAAAUUCAUUUACGGUUUUCAAGCGGAUUUAAGCUACAGUGAUAUAACAUCAGUCUCUGCAAGUGUUUUGCAUCUGAUACGAGCCAGGUGAAUGAUUACGCGACGUAAUGAGCAAAAAUGUAAGCCGAUCGGUGGACAACGAUCGGGUAGCAUUGGCCUUGGAGGACGGCCGACCUCAAAGUAAAACUCGGGAAGGUUGCUGAGUUACGUUCGGAUGCAACCAAACCGUCUACGACUUACGACCGCUAGGCUCGUCAUACUUAUACUAUACCCAAGGAAGUUGGCUGCCGAUCCAACAAACGUAACUUGACGUAUAUUAUAUUAUAUACGUCCCUACGAGAGGACGUGAUCGAAGGAUUAAUUUAUUCGGCGGUUAUGCGUAUGAAAAAUGUUUUUUUGCCUAAAGCUAAUGUCAUCGAAUAUCAUUAUAUCCGUGAAAUAUUCUAGUUUGCAGUUAAUGAAAACAUAAAAGUUUUUACGACCCGAACCGCUACGAAUUUCACAUCAUGUUUUACAUGGUUAAAGCAUAAUUGAGUUCGCAUGGUCACCGAGUUGACGAAUCCUUGACCUAUGAAUCGUCGAAAAUCUGGUUAUGAUCGAUCCACCACGAGAUAAAAAGAAAAUUGCAAAAUUUUCCAAUCGCUUUUUCGAAAGCACACAGCGUUGUAGCGAGAAGAAUUUUUAAUCAAAUUACGAGUUAAACGACAUCGUCGAAGAUGCCUGCGUUCUUCCAUACACUGACGCGUUUACGUCAGAUAAUUAAAAUUCGUAUUGUAUAAUCACGAAAAAACACAUGCGAGCCGAUAUGUUUGCUGUGAGCUAAUUCUUUGUUUAACAAAACACACGUGACCAUUAAGAGGUCAAACUGAAUCAUCUUAUUAUUCAUCGGUAUCGGUACAGCGAAAUAACGACGAUGAUAAAACCUUAUUAGUCGGUCUUCUUCGACACUUGCGUUCGCAAUUCGUUCGUUUCGUAUUAGUCUCUAAGCACGCUCGAGUGUGUAACAGUUGAGUAAUAAUGGAUGACGGAUAAUAUACGCCGUCGAGUGUGUAAUCAAUACAGAUCUCUGCGCGGUAAUUAAUAUCGUAAUUCAAGAUAUCCAUCUGUUAAAUGUUGUAAUAAUCGUUGACGCGAUGGAAGAAUAACUCAAGAAACGGGAACGCUACGGUUACAAAAUCAUCAGAAAAUUCAUCAGACGACACGAACGGAAUCUUUCGCGGAAAUUCGACAAAUCUAUAUUUCCUCUCGACAUCACAUCGUGGAUCAUCGUAUACGAACUGUCACCAACACUAUAUUCUCCGCUAUAAUGUGAGCGGUGCAAGUACAACGCGAAGUCAACCGAUAUCCUAACGACCUUCAAGCCCCAUUCGUCACGAUCGUACUUAGUCGAACCGCAGGGGCCGGAAAAUGUAUUGCUAAAGCAGAAAGUAAUACCAGAAGCCUGCAAUAUGGGAUCAACUGGAUAACGUUUUGCUACACGUGACGCUGAACUGCAAUUGAAAACAUCGAUGUGAAAUCCUGUAGUCGCACAUCUGAAUCGUUCGUUCCUCACAGGACGGCUUAAAUACGUAUUAUACUUAUUACCGUUAAUUGUAUAACAAGUUUACGAUAAAAUUAUCGCCUAGCUCA